rnacentral:rRNA from 1 species
UGAACGCUGGCGGCGUGCUUAACACAUGCAAGUCGCACGAGAACGCCUUGGCUUGCCAAGGCCAGUAAAGUGGCGCACGGGUGAGUAACGCGUGGGCAAUCUACCUCCGAAUCGGGGAUAACAUUGCGAAAGCGAUGCUAAUACCGGAUAACAUCCCAGUGGCUCUGGCGAUUGGGAUCAAAGGUGGCCUCUACAUGUAAGCUACUGUUUGGAGAGGAGCCCGCGUACCAUUAGCUUGUUGGUGAGGUGAAGGCUCACCAAGGCUACGAUGGUUAGCUGGUCUGAGAGGGUGAUCAGCCACACUGGAACUGACACACGGUCCAGACUCCUACGGGAGGCAGCAGUGAGGAAUUUUGCGCAAUGGGGGAAACCCUGACGCAGCAACGCCGCGUGAGUGAUGAAGGCUUUCGGGUCGUAAAGCUCUGUCAAGUGGGAAGAACUUGGCGGUCGUUAAUAACGAUUGUCAUUGACGGUACCACUGAAGGAAGCACCGGCUAACUCC